GCGCGACUAGCUCAGGGGGAGAGCACUUCCCUGACACGGAAGGGGUCGCAAGUUCAAAUCUUGCGUCGCGCACCA
rnacentral:tRNA from 1 species